GAUGAAGAACGUAGCGAAAUGCGAUAAGUAAUGUGAAUUGCAGAAUUCAGUGAAUCAUCGAAUCUUUGAACGCACAUUGCGCCCGCUAGUAUUCUGGCGGGCAUGCCUGUCCGAGCGUCAUUUCAACCCUCAAGCCCCCGGGCUUGGUGUUGGGGAUCGGCGAGCCUCCGCGCCCGCCGUCCCCUAAAUCUAGUGGCGGUCUCGCUGUAGCUUCCUCUGCGUAGUAGCACACCUCGCACUGGGAAACAGCGCGGCCACGCCGUUAAACCCCCAACUUCUGAACGUUUGACCUCGGAUCAGGUAGGAAUACCCGCUGAACUUAAGCAUAUCAUAGCGGAGGA
rnacentral:misc_RNA from 1 species